rnacentral:tRNA from 1 species
CCAUCGGUGGUUCAGUGGUAGAAUGCUCGCCUGCCACCCGGGCGGCCCGGGUUCGAUUCCCAGCCGAUGCA